rnacentral:misc_RNA from 1 species
UGUAAUAGCGGGGUAGUUGGGACGAACUGGUCUCCAGUCUUGCUUAGCGUUAACCCCUACUCUACCGUCGCUACUGUACCCUACACCCGUAUUGUCGGAGCCCACCCGUCUCAUUGCAAGUCUGUGAAAGACGAGGCUUGGAUUACCAGUGUUGUGCUUGAUACGAACAUGUCUAUUUGCACUGGAGACACGUAUGGUGUGUGUUCAACAGAAUGUUCUAAUGAGAACUUAGUAUAAAUACCUACCUACGUCUUGUCCUGCUUUCACAUGCAGGAUGGGAGGAUUAUUCAUAACUUAAUAACUCCCUGAGCGUGACAACUAUCUGUAGGAUACUCCGACCUUAUCGAACAGGUAAACACGCUAGACAUAUUUCACCUUAUGGUAUUCGGAUGCGGUCUUGCAUAAAUGAGAGUGCAAAACAAAUACAACAGAGCAACAUGUAGAGAACGAGACCAGUCAAGCGGAUUAUUCUGAGCCGGAGAUAAUCUGUGUAGUCGUGGUAUGCAGUAAUAAGAGGGUGGUAGGACCGAGCUGUCGAGUCACACGGACAACAUCUAGGCACUGGUAGCUUGUCGAUUUCACCUGGAGAUUUACCUGGCGGCACACUUCCAACGGCAUACCUGUCUGUUGACAGAUGUUAUUGUGGCACUGUAAUAAGCUGUGACAUUUAUGGAAUAAUCUAGUUACACCAACACCAUGGCUAAAACAUCGGCCGGCAGGUUAAUGUCGGAAUGGUACGACGUGUCUCUGAAGAAGGAAGCGUUACCUCACCGCAACAGCGUCGUGAUCACCGUCACACAGGGCGCCGCCGCUGCAUUUGGGAUAGAUGACGACGAUGACAAGUACUCGGUGUCGGAGAUGUCGGUGGGGGCGACGAAAAAUGAGAAACAGGGCAAGAACUCCCGAGAAGCUUUUGGAAAACCUGGCUUCACGAAGAACCACCUGGGACUGGAACGCAUGAAAUCCGUGGUGGCUGAGACCCACAUGACCGACACCGAGUCCUCCAGCACGGAGAACUGCAAGCCGGACACAGAGGAGUCUACUCCAGUUCCGCCGUUCAACUCAGGGCAAGAGGAAGAGGGGUCCCCGGGGGAAGGGGCCUCAAGUAAGACGCGUAGAGGCAGGGACGACGACUCCAUCGUCAGCAGCGAAGUCGACGACAUCGACACCCUGACAGGACCUUCAAGUUUCGCGCUGUUUGCUCAAACCAAGUUCCAGCUCCGUACGACGCAUGUCUACAGUUGUGCAGCUCUACAGGGCUCCCUGCUGCCAAAACACGACAGAGCUGACACACUGGCGUCCCUGGCCUCGUGGGUGACCAUCCUCCGGGUGAUGGGGGAUCUCCCAGAGAGCUCAGGACAGUUCCUCUCCGUCAUCGGGGAGGAACCAUCUAUCAUAUCCAAGGUCAAGGCUGGCUUCAAGAGGAAGUACACAAGGAAAGACCUGGAUGAUACUCAGAAGAAAUAUUCAGAAUAUUUCAAAGAUCCCGUGAGUGCCGAGGUCUCAGAUAUCCCCUUCUUACCCAGCGGUAAGGAGACAAUGCUUGAGAAGAUACAGUACCUGUGCGCCCUGGGUAUAUACAGAACUGACCUAAGAGACGAGUUAUACUGCCAGUUAUGUAAGCAGUUGACGAACAACCCGUCCAGGAACAGCACAGUGCGAGGCUGGGUGUUGAUGAUGCUGUUCGCCGGAUGCUUCACGCCCUCGGAAAAGUUCGCCCCGUGUUUCCGAUGUUUCCUAAAGGAGGGGCCGACAGAGUUCACCCAAAAAGUGGAGAAGCUUACCCGGAGGACCAGCGUUGCAGGAACUCGGGGGUUCCCUCCCAGCUGGCUGGAGUUCCAGGCGGCCAAGAACUCCAAACCUAUCCUUCUUCCCGUCACCUUCAUGAACGGCCAACGCAUCCUCAUUGAGGCGGACGCAGCUACGACGGUGCGGGAGCUGAGCAACAACCUCGCAGAGACGCUGGACUUCAGCGACAACGAGGGGUUCUCAAUCUACGUGUGUCUCCACCAGAAGAUCUCCUGUCUCGGCCACGGUCUUCACCGGAUAAUGGAUGCCGUGUCGGAAUGUGAACAACACACCAAGCAAAUGGGCAUGCGCGAGAGCAGCUCCCUCUGGCGGCUGUAUUACCGGAAGGAGUACUUUACACCUUGGCAUGAUGCCAAGGAAGACCCCUCCUCCACCGACAUCAUCUACCAGCAAGUGAUGAGGGGGAUCUCACUCGGCGAAUACCAGUGUCAGAAGGAGGAAGUGUUCGUCUUGCUGGGGGCACAGAGAUACUACCUGGAGUACUCGGAGGUGACGGAUCAGAAGAAGUUGGACAACCUGUGCCGGAACUGGUUCCCGGACGCUUGGAAGGAGGAGAAGGGGGUUCCGUACUUUGUCCAGAAGGUGGAGGAAGCGGUCACUAACAACUUCGGAAGCAAGAAGCCCCCCCACGCGGACAUCAAGGCGGACAUCGUCACGUUCGCCAUCAACAAGUGGUCUCUGAUGUUCUCUCGCUACUACGACGCCAGCAAGGUCACAGGGCCCGGGGUGAAGGUCAAUGGGCCGGGGUUUACUGCCGUCAACGUCGUGGUGGGUCUGAGUGGGAAAGGGAUGUACGUGCUGGACAAUGGAGACUCGAUACGUGUGCAGCUGCCGUUUUAUGAGAUGUCCAAGAUUGUCAAACACAGACACACAGUUAACAUCACCACCGUCAAGGAUGAGGAGUACUCCGUCAUGUCCAAUCACUCCGAUGACUUCCAUCUCCUCCUGGCGUCAUUCAUAGAAGGCCUGCAGAUGCGCUCCAAGUACGCAAUAGUCAUCGACAACAAGCAAGAUCUGAAGAAGGGAGACCUCAUCACGCUGGACAAGGCAGUCAAGGAAUACAAAAAGCUGGACCCCUUCCGUGGCGUGUGUCAGAGGACAGGCAAGCCGUGUGACGUACCGCGGGACCUGGUCUGUGUCCUCAACACCGUGGAUGAGCCUUCCUCAGAGGUCCUGACAAUGUUUACAGUGCAAUUAGAGAGAGACACUCAGGUGUUCAGGAACCAGGACGAUGGCCGGCCUCAUACACUCCAGAAAUACUCAAGAUAUCAUUUCAGACAACCCAACGAGAAUGCCGUGACGAAGAUGUUCAACAAGGCUUCUAUAAAACGCGGGAAGGGCAAGAGUGACCUCAUCUGGCAGUUCAGCAGGGACCCCAUCAAGAAGCCCCUCCUGAGAAAGUCCUUGAACCGAGAUGACACGCGCCUCAUGGCUUGUCGAACAUUCACUGCAGUCCAGCAGUUCAUGGGGGACGCACUCCUGAAGGACAAUGUGACGGACAUUGAGCUGGCCAAUCGCUGGAUCGUCGAGCCGGCCAGCAGAAGUAGAUAUUUACGAGAUGAAGUUUUCUGUCAAGUUAUCAAGCAACUGACCAACAACUCGAACAAGUCAAGUGAGGAACGUGGGUGGUUGUUGCUGCUGAUGCUGGCUACGACGGCGAUCCCGGGGGAGGGGCUGUAUGAUGAGGCGCAGAAGUUUGUGCGGUCAAGCCCUCUCCCCAUCGCCAAGCUGUGUGGUGAGAGGCUGGAGAGAGCUAAGACACGCGGCUGUCGACUGUGGCCGCCCCACCCAGCUGAGCACGACAUGCUGUCCAGGAAGCUGCCCACUGUCCGAGUGAAGGUGUACAUCCCUGACAACACCUGUCAGACAUUCGACGUGACGUCAGUGACGAGAAUCAUCGACAUUAAGCGAGAGGUGUGCACGAGACUUGGCCUGAAGACGUGGGAAGAGUACAGCUUGUUCAUGAGCUUCCAGGACAGCGUUCACUCCCUCCAAGAAAACGAGUACUACUUUGACGCCCUGUCGCAUGCCGAGAUGUACUGGGUGUCUCAGAAAGCCGCCAUUCGGGCAAGACUGUCCGGUCCGCUGACCCCGGUCCUGGUGAUGCUGAAGAAGGUGUGGGUCAAUAUCAAGCCUGGACACGACUCGGUGGCCGAUGUGUGCUUCCACUUCCCGCAGGAGCUGCCCAACUUCAUCCGUGGGUAUCACCAGACUACAGAUGACGUGACCGCCAGACUCGCAUCUCUCGCGUACAGGGCCAAGUACGGCAACGAACCCAAGCCACUCAAGGAAACAUUCAGUGAGGUCAGCAAGAGCAUUGCCCCGAAGAAGCUGUUGCAGACGCAGUCCUCGGAAUACUGGUCCAAGACAAUCACUCAGUACUACGACGAGAGUAAGGAUCUGAGCCAGGAUCAAGCCAAGGCUUCCUUCCUCAAGGUCAUUAGCCAUCUCACGACAUAUGGAUCCAUAUUCUUUGAAGUCAAGCAACGAGCUCAAAAAGACCUUCCCAAGAACCUCCUGGUGGCCAUCAAUAUGACAGGGCUGCACCUGAUUGACUCCAACACCAGGAGAAUGUUGAGGACACUGGAGUUCUCACAGAUCCCCAACUGGGCCUUCGACGAAGACUCCAUCACGCUGAUGGUGAUAGAUGGGACGAACACCACCAAGAUGCUGCUGGAAACAAGCGUGGGGCACAACAUGGACGACAUCCUCAUGGCCUACAUCAGCUGGGUGAUGAACACACAGAUGCGGAAGAAGCACGGCUUUGCAGGUUCCCCAGCUGGUGAAAGUACCUGUUAGUGUCGCACACAGCUUCAUCAGGCGUACAGCUGCACGAGAAACACAGCUGCGAGGCGAACAAUCCUGAUCUGACCAGCCCUACAAACUGACGUGGAAAGUGCUGCCGCACAGACAAGGGUGUGUGCCUGACUUAUUUAUAUAAUUAAUGGCUUACGAGGACAUUCGAAGUGCCACGCCUACCACGCCAUCAGGAUACCCAACCGUGGGGAUGUGCUGGCUAGAUAGGUCAAGAAUGUGUCACGUGGACCAAUACUUACAUCAACCGAUUCAAAGUAUUGUUGCGUUGCCUGGCGAAUACUCAUUUAACUACAGGCUUCCAGCUUAAAGUUUCAUAUAUCAACGCUUCAUCACAAGUGUUAGUCCUCAGCACUGCAUGCAUGCCUGUCUCGGCCGACAUAUGACCGACCAGUAUAUAACUAUCUCUGUCAUCAUAGACAUGCGCAGUAGAAGCCAUCACGUCGGACUAUACAUACGUUCAUUCCUAAUAUGUUCUUAGCGUUGUGUAACCAUUGACAUCAGUUCCUUCUCUUUGAUAAUACUUCCAUUUAAAGUUAACAAACCUAUACGUCGUAGCCUGUAUGUUACUAGUAUGAUGUCUAUAUACAUGUAUAUUCAUGAUAAUGUCGAGUGAAUGUGCAGUUGACAUCGAGUUAUACGAAGUCGGUAAUAACGAACAUUCGGUUAUACCAAAUCAGGUGUUUAGUCUUUAAUUGUGGUAAUCAAGUUACAUGUAUUUUCAUAUAAAAGGUAACUUCGGCUAUGCCGAACUAAACAUGACGAUCAAUUUGAGUUCGUCUUAUCCGGUCUUUACCAUGUCUAUGUAUCUGGCCAGUGUGCUUAAUAUUCUAAUCUACUAUGUUCUACUAUUUAAAUAUUGGGCACGGCAACAGGUUGCUAUGCUAUAUAUAUGAAAUAUCUCACAACAGUACACUUGUAGUGCUGUAUAUAUGAAAUAUCUCAUUACAGUACACUUGUAGUGCUGUAUAUAUGAACUAUCUCAUAACAGUACACUUGUAGUGCUGUAUAUAUGAAAUAUCUCACAACAGUACACUUGUAGUGCUGUAUAUAUGAAAUAUCUCAUUAAAGUACACUUGUAGUGCUGUAUAUAUGAAGUAUCUCAUAACAGUACACUUGUAGUGCUGUAUAUAUGAAAUAUCUCAUUACAGUACACAUGUAGUGCUGUAUAUAUGAAAUAUCUCAUAACAUUUCACUUGUAGUGCUGUAUAUAUGAAAUAUCUCAUAACAGUCCACUUGUAGUGCUGUAUAUAUGAAAUAUCUCACAACAGUACACUUGUAGUGCUGUAUAUAUGAAAUAUCUCACAACAGUACACUUGUAGUGCUGUAUAUAUGAAAUAUCUCACAACCGUACACUUGUAGUGCUGUAUAUAUGAAAUAUCUCACAACAGUACACUUGUAGUGCUGUAUAUAUGAAAUAUCUCACAACAGUACACUUGUAGUGUUGUAUAUAUGAAAUAUCUCAUUACAGUACACUUGUAGUGCUGUAUAUAUGAAAUAUCUCAUAACAGUACACUUGUAGUGCUGUAUAUAUGAAAUAUCUCAUAACAGUCCACUUGUAGUGCUGUAUAUAUGAAAUAUCUCACAACCGUACACUUGUAGUGCUGUAUAUAUGAAAUAUCUCACAACAGUACACUUGUACUGCGGUAUAUAUGAAAUAUCUCAUAACAGUACACUUGUAGUGCUGUAUAUAUGAAAUAUCUCAUAACAGUACACUUGUAGUGCUGUAUAUAUGAAAUAUCUCAUAACAGUACACUUGUAGUGCUGUAUAUAUGAAAUAUCUCAUAUCAGUACACAUGUAGUGCUGUAUAUAUGAAAUAUCUCAUAACAGUACACUUGUAGUGCUGUAUAUAUGAAAUAUCUCAUAACAGUACACUUGUAGUGCUGUAUAUAUGAAAUAUCUCACAACAGUACACUUGUAGUGCUGUAUAUAUGAAAUAUCUCACAACAGUACACUUGUAGUGCUGUAUAUAUGAAAUAUCUCACAACAGUACACUUGUAGUGCUGUAUAUAUGAAAUAUCUCACAACAGUACACUUGUAGUGCUGUAUAUAUGAAAUAUCUCACAACAGUACACUUGUAGUGCUGUAUAUAUGAAUAUCUCACAACAGUACACUUGUAGUGCUAUGUCCAAUACGCUUUGUUGUGACGAGUACGCGGGCCGUGACCGAUGUUCAAUACUAUCAUACCAUCAUACCAUCAUACCCUCAUACUGUCUACCCACUGUACAUCACAUUACAUCGCUGAUUACAUUACUUCACCCACCUAAAUAGAAUGUAAUAUUUGACUGUGGACAACGUUUCUCACUGACAUGGAACUUAAGGUCGGAAACGGCAUAUAUUUAUCAUCGACGUGUAUGUCAUCGUGGGUUGAGCUACAUCCUAGAUACAGCGAUACCUAGGAUAAUAUAGGUACGACCUAUGAUAUAGUUAGCACCUAGGAUAUAUGACCUAGGAUAUAACAAGGACCUAGGAUAUAGCAAGGACCUUGGAUAUAACUAGGACCUAUCAUGAAGUUUGGACCUUGGAUAUAGCUAGGACCUAUGUUUUAACCAGGACCUGGGAUAUAACUAGGACCUAGGAUAUAGCUAGGAUCUUGGAUAUAACUAGGACCUUGGACAUAACUAGGACCUAGGAUAUAACUAGGACCUUGGAUAUAAAAAGGACCUUAGAUAUAACUAGGACUUAGGAUAUAACUAGGACCUGGGAUAAAACUAGGACCUUGGAUAGAACAAGGACCUGGGAUAUAACUAGGACCUGGGAUAUAACUAGACUAGCAACCUUCAUCCCCACACAAGGAGUACCCGCUUGUCAUGCUUUGUACGAAUAGAAUCGCCUUCUGCAUCUUCAGCACCGAGGACUGUCAGACCUGUCAGCUGACCUUGCAUUUAAUCGUCUAUCACAUUUCAUGUCAGUGAUUCUAUAUCACUAUGUAUUUAAUAUUUGUCUUGUAAUUGCGUGAUCCAGUGUUCAGGGCUGAGACACCUUGUUCUCCGUCAUCAAUAUCAAUAUGACGAUAGUAUUUAUUCCCCACUGUAUUGUGGAAUAUUAUUGUAUACACUCAAGUGACGUGCACAAUGUUGACGUUCAGUAGUAUGUAUACUAACAUUAUAGUUACGUGUGUAGUGUAUAGUUAUGACGCUGUGCGAUAAUUGCAGACGCGCGGCCCGGGGUAUAACUUUAACUUUACAAUUACGCAGAGAUGUAGAAUAUUAAUUCUGCGAUUUUAAGGUGUAAGAAGUGCAAGAUUGGAUUGAAAAACAGACACUGUUAGGGAUUGUCCAACAUUUUGUUGCACAUUUAGCCACUUAUUUGACAGUUGUAACCUGUAAACUUUGUAACCUUGUAAACCUAUAGGAAAUACUGUCCAAUAUCUGAACGACGUAAUGCGGCAUGUUCAAAACGAAACCUAUCUUGUUACAAAUGACGGGUCAAAAGCUCCGCUAUGCGUCAAUAUUGGUCAUUAUGACUCGGUUGGCUAUGGAUCGCGACAAUAUAUAUUCUAAUUGUUUUGCUCACGAGUAACCAAACAGUUUCAACACAUUUAUCGAUGAAAAUAAUUCACUUUAAUGUAUCCUGCCAAAUCAUAAGGUAUGACGACAUCUUCUUACAUCAGAUGGCCCUAUCUAAAACUGCAAUUAGUCCUCAGAUACUGGCAUUCACCUGAUUGUGUAAGUGCUUGUAUUAUAUUUCUGUACAGAUAUAGGCCGUAGGUCCCUGGGACUAUCGACUGCAGUGUCCAGCUGUCCAGUUAUACAUUAUAACGCUUUGUGUAGAUGUAAGCCGUAGGUCCCUGGGACUAUCGACUGCAGUGUCCAGCUGUCCAGUUAUACAUUAUAACGCUGUGUGUAGAUGUAAGCCGUAGGUCCCUGGGACUAUCGACUGCAGUGUCCAGCUGUCCAGUUAUACAUUAUAACGCUGUGUGUAGAGCGUGCAGAUCAUAAUACCCUGAGGCCACUAACAUUCUUUGCAUAUGGUAAAUGAAGCUAGCUAAUUUUCGUUUAUUUCAUUUGAAGUAGACAUUAAUAUAAUAAGUUUAACAGUGAUUUAUAGACGUAAAAUAUCUUAAGCAAGUACAUUUGGCGGAAGUCUCCAAACAAAUUACAGACUAGCAAAGAAAUAAUAUUCCGUCUCUUAUAACAAACUCUGCAUAGUUUCUGUUCUCGUGGUACGUGUACCUAUUAUCUGUCUCAAUACAUAGCUCGUGUGAGCUGUAGAGAAACUGUGCAAUAGCAUACCUGGAUUCACUGAGUGUUACUGAAUGUAUACACGGUUUCACAGAGCAUUGAUUCUUGAACACUGAACAAUAAAACGUUUUGGUACUGACACAAUUAUUCAUAUUGAUACAGAAGCCAUCCUCCUUUAGUCAUACGAUAUGAUGAAAUAGUACUUCAGAAAAAAAGUAGAGAAAUAGAUGGCCGUAUCUGAAACUAUCAUUAGUCGCUAGACACCGCAUACACCUGAUUGUGUAACUUGACACAUGCUGCCCAGUUGUUGAUGGAGUGCACGUCUUAUCAUCUCGUGGGAGAAAUGACUGAUAAUUCAAUAACUUUUUGUUAAACGUCAAGGUUUAUUUGAUUUCUUUAGCGACGUCGGAGAUGUUGAUUAAUUUAUGUCUAACCUGCGUUUCGGUCUCGGCAUGAAUAAUCUCGUUUUAUAAAAAGGUAUGGCGUAUUGGAUGUGAUAUAAUAGUAUGCAUGGUAUGAGGUUCAUGAAGAAAUUCACCAAUUUAGUUUCUUUUAAUUUCUUUAUGAAUACCGCAAACAAAUAACACAUGGAAUUCCAGUUUCAAUAUAGGAAUGGCCCCUGUUUGUGAUAAUCGUUAGCUGGUUUCUGGGCUUCUCCCUCUCAUGGGCGUGGUCUGGGUUUCGCAACUUCUUCUUGGGUGGCGUCAAACUAACUGGAUUGUGAUCGCUGUAUUAUGCUGCUCAACUUGCGGUAUCUCAAUGAAUAUGUGCAUGCCUCCCCUCGAGAUGAUUGGUUGGCGUCGACUCACUGCUCAGGGAUAUAUCUUGUGCUUCGUGACAAAGUCUUUUGUGUAAAUGGUGGUCGGCUACCCUCCGAUGAAUGGAAGUUCGACAUCCGGUCUUAAUCAUGAACUUGUAUUCGGAACAAAAAACAUGUGUCAAGUCCUCUUAGAAUUGAGAUUAAACUGUACGCCAACCUGCGCAUUUGUCACAGUGGAAUACUAUUUCUUGUCUGUAAUCACUUUUAAAGCACAAAUCGUAUACUAAAUUAUUAAUAUUUCACUCACUCAUUGAUGUAUAUUUUAAAGUGUUCACCCAUUAGAGUGAAUGUGGAUAUAGUUCACUAAUUAUUUAUGUCGUUAUGUUUUGUGAGAUAUUCAUCAAUAAGUACUAUGUAAGAUGCCCCAUUAAUCCCCUAUUGUGUUUACCAACCACCACGGUCGGGUGAAUCUGUCCCUAUAACAAUAGGUGCUGGACACAUAGGACCCAAGUAAACCAUGCAGACUGGGCGCCGGCCCGAUGGUUGAAUCUGCGCAGCGCCUCAAACACCGGGAACCCGUUUAAAACCACUAAGGGGAAUCCCCUAGUGACGGAAGUUUUCGUUUGGGUCGCGAUUUCGCAUGUCGUGUUUUUAUCGUCUGUUUUACGCUAUUUAUGUUUUUCAAAUUUAAUUUUGGUUAAGCAUUUGUGAUUAAGUAUGCUCUAAAGUAUUAAAAUCUGCAAAGUCGGUUUGUUGACUUAACUUUACCUUUGGUGUCUUCCAUGCAGACACUUAUACUUAUAUCAGGUUUGUAGAAUGUUCCACUUACAAAGUAACGUUUUGCGAUGAAUAUAGGUGAUUUCUGACAUACAGCAUCUUACUGCCACUAAACGAUUUCAGAAUAGCUUCCACGUAUCAAAUCAAAGGUUCUACCGGUGUAUUUAAAGAACAUGUAGAAGUUGCAAUCAUUUCCCAGGAACCGGAUGAAUAUAUUAUGUGGAUUUCGCUCAAGGCUGAAGGCUGUAGUACAUAUUAGACAUGGCGGCGUUAUUGCACAGAUGCACAUGUUGUAGUCAUUGUUCUGCCUAUCACGGAUCAGCUGGGAAAUGCAUAGUCGACAGGGUGCAAAGAACGUUGGUGCAAGAAUUGAAUAAUGGACGUGUAAUAUCCAUGUUUUAUACUAUGGCAUAAUCGUUUACUCGAUGCAUUAAUUCAUUCAUCAAAUUCAUCGUUAACUAUAAUGAUCACGGGGAAGGACGACGUCGUUGAACGUCCUUCACUCAUUGAUGCACAACUUGAAAAGAAGAAUGAAUGAGGUCAGGGAAUGACGUUGCGUUACCGUCGGGUCGCUUCUUGAAGUCUUCCUCCUGGUGUUUCACAACCAAAUACACAUGGUAAAUGAUGACUGGUUGGUGACCCAGAUAUUUACUGAAAUGUACCCUCCCGUCGAUUUAUGUUUUAACGAACAUGUAACUUCACAUGUAACAAUGUAACUCAUGAUCACUUUAUUCUGAUAAUUGCAUGUAACAAGGAUUUCUACAGGUCAUAUUGGUUUUAACAUUAUUAUGCAACAUUUUAAUACAAUGUAUGUGAACAAUAUUUUUGCCAUGAAACAUUAUGAAACAA